CCCUGGGUGGCUCAGUGGUUUAGCGCCUGCCUUCAACCCAGGGCAUGAUCCUACAGUCGUGGGAUCAAGUCCCACAUCAGGCU
rnacentral:tRNA from 1 species